CCCUUAGAUGUUCUGGGCCGCACGCGCGCUACACUGACAAGUUCAACAAGUGCUCCUUCACCGAUGGGUGCGGGUAAUCUUUAAACGCUUGUCGUGAUGGGGAUAGAUGAUUGUAAUUUUUCAUCUUCAACGAGGAAUUCCUAGUAAACGCAAGUCAUCAGCUUGCAUUGAUUACGUCCCUGCCCUUUGUACACACCGCCCGUCGCACCUACCGAUUGAAUGGAGAGGUGAAAUCUUCGGACUGUGAUGAUGUCGUCAGAUGUCGUCGUGGGAAGUGGAUUAAAUCUUUCCAUUUAGAGGAAGGUGAAGUCGUAACA
rnacentral:rRNA from 1 species